rnacentral:rRNA from 1 species
GACGAACGCUGGCGGCGUGCUUAACACAUGCAAGUCGAACGCUGAAGACCUGGCUUUUUUUGGUUUGGAUGAGUGGCGAACGGGUGAGUAACACGUGAGUAACCUGCCCUCUUCUUUGGGAUAACGCCCGGAAACGGGUGCUAAUACUGGAUAUUCACUGAUCUUCGCAUGGGGGUUGGUGGAUCGGUUUUUUCUGGUUGGGGUUGGGCUCUCUGGCUAUCAGCUUGUUGGUGGGGUGAUGGCCUACCAAGCCUCUGACGGGUAGUCGGCCGGGGAGGGGGACAGGGGAAAUGGGAACUGGGAUACAGUCCAGACGCAUGCGGGAGGCGGCAGUGGGGAAUAUUGCGCGAAGGGCGAAAGCAGGAAGAAGGGACGGGGCGUGAGGGAUGGAGGCCUUCGGGUUGUAAACGUCUUGCAAUAAUGGUCAAGCCGCAACUGUGGGUUGUGGUGAGGGUAGUGGGUAAAGAAGCGCCGGCUAACUACGUG